ACCCUGUAGUUUCGGGUUUGUG
rnacentral:miRNA from 9 species